UACGUAGGGGGCAAGCGUUGUCCGGAAUCAUUGGGCGUAAAGAGCGUGUAGGCGGCUCGAUAAGUCUGUUCUGAAAGUCCAGGGCUCAACCCUGGGAUGCGGAUGGAUACUGUCGAGCUCGAGUCCGGAAGAGGCGAGUGGAAUUCCGCGUGUAGCAGUGAAAUGCGUAGAGAUGCGGAGGAACACCGAUGGCGAAGGCAGCCCCCUGGGCUAGCACUGACGCUCAGGCACGAAAGCGUGGGGAGCAAACAGG
rnacentral:rRNA from 1 species